rnacentral:tRNA from 1 species
GGGAAGGUGGCUCAGUGGUAGAGUGCUUGCCUUGCAUGCAUGAGACCCUGGGUUCAAUUCCUCAUCACCA